GACGAACGCUGGCGGCGUGCCUAAUACAUGCAAGUAGAACGCUGAAGAGAGGAGCUUGCUCUUCUUGGAUGAGUUGCGAACGGGUGAGUAACGCGUAGGUAACCUGCCUUGUAGCGGGGGAUAACUAUUGGAAACGAUAGCUAAUACCGCAUAACAAUGGAUGACACAUGUCAUUUAUUUGAAAGGGGCAAUUGCUCCACUACAAGAUGGACCUGCGUUGUAUUAGCUAGUAGGUGAGGUAAUGGCUCACCUAGGCGACGAUACAUAGCCGACCUGAGAGGGUGAUCGGCCACACUGGGACUGAGACACGGCCCAGACUCCUACGGGAGGCAGCAGUAGGGAAUCUUCGGCAAUGGGGGCAACCCUGACCGAGCAACGCCGCGUGAGUGAAGAAGGUUUUCGGAUCGUAAAGCUCUGUUGUAAGUCAAGAACGGGUGUGAGAGUGGAUAGUUCACACUGUGACGGUAGCUUACCAGAAAGGGACGGCUAACUACGUG
rnacentral:rRNA from 1 species